rnacentral:rRNA from 1 species
GGAAGAAAAGUCGUAACAAGGUUUCUGAAGUAUUGCGUGAAUGAUGAUUCUUCCGCAGUGACACUUAUUGAAGCCGUUGUGGCCCUUCACAGGGUAGCCUCGCGACUAUAAACAAGAGAUGGUUUGCACAAGUAAUCUAGCAAGAUUGCAACAUAAUCGAAAUGCGGGGAUCUCCUAAAACCAUCUGGGUACUAACUCAGGAUAGAAAUAUCCUGAGGGCUUGUGUUAACAGCAUAAGGUAAAGUAACAAUCUCAAUGGAUGCUACAAUGGAUAAUCCGCAGCGAAACCUCUAAGGGUGUAAACUUAUGAGGUGCGUCCACAGACUAAGUGGUUAUGGGCGUUUGGCUGAGAAGUCAAAUGCUUAAGAUAUAGUCGGGCCAUGAUGGAAACAUUAUGGAGUAAGUCACUGUAUGAUUUACUGGUAAGUAGAAGUUGAGAGACUUUGAAAAUACCAUCUAACCGUUCCGUAGGUGAACCUGCGGAAGGAUCAUUA